AAUCAUGUAGGGGACUUGUGGGGAAUGCUUUGGGUUGUCGUAUGCAAUCAUCCAAUUCAAUAACGUUAGGAAAAAUCUGAAGGUUAAUUUAAGCGGACCUAAUUAACUUGGGGCAUUGAGAAUUCAUGGGUUAUUGAAAAGCAAUUGGAAAUCGUUUUGAAUACAAGUCUAACAUGUGUGGAGAUGAACCCCUUAGCUAGCUUUCUAUCCAUUCAAUUCAAUCAAAUUCGUUUUAAAAUCUGUUUUGAUUUACAAGUUUAUGUUUGUUUUCAAUUUCGUAAAAACCAAAUCCCCCUUUGUUUUCAAGUGUCAAAUUAGUUAGAGAGUGUGUUAGUUUGUGUUUUUAAGUGUUUUGAGUCAAGGUAAAACCUAUUUUCGUCAAAAUCUUGUUUAGAGUUCAAAACUGCCCAGAAAGUGGUUUUAAGGCAGUUUUGAGUGUUUUUGUGUUAUUUUGAGUCUUUUGGUUUGUUUUGGUGUUUUAAGUUAUAGUUUUACAUUCUUUGAGUCUAGUUUAGUGUUUUAAACUUUGUUUUUACGUUUUUGAGUCAGUUUUCAAGUGAUUUAGCAAUCCCUCCUAAUCCCCGGCCUAGAACGAUCCCUACUUACAUACUUACUACAAUUGAUAAAAAGAGGGUUAAUUUGAGUGCUAGUUAAUAUCAUAUCAAAUUUUGGCGCCGUUGCCGGGGAUUAGCAACUUUGCUAAUCCCUUGGUUCUUUUCUUUUUGUUUAGUUUGUUUCUGUUUUAGUUUCUGACUUAGUUUUGUUUUCCUUUUUUUUGUGUUACUUUUGAUAUUUGAUUUAGUUCUCUUUCUUUGAUUUUAGGUACUAGAGAAGUAAGACAUGGAUUUUGCUAGCAUUCAAGCUCAAUUAGCAAAUCUUACUUCUCAAUUGUCACAGAUUGCCGAAAGUACCACAAUGCAAAGUGUCCCUACAUUUGGUGCAUCUUAUAGGCAAGGAUACCAAGCCAAUCUAUAUCCACAAAGCGAUUGGAGUGAUCAUUCAAACUCUAUGUGGUGGGAAGCUCAACAAGUUCAACACAAAGCAUAUUGGCAGCCAUAUGAAGAGUUCUAUUCAAGACCUAUGCAGCCACCACAACCUCAUAUACAAUAUGCUCAAUCAAAUUUAGGUUCGUCAAUAGAUUAUAUAAUCAAAUUCUUAAUGAAUUAAAUUCUUUGUUGCAGGGCUCACAAAAUCAAGCCAAGGAGGAUCAACAAGGUGGAUAUUGGCAGCAAGAAGAGGAGUUCUAUCAUUGGCCAUAUGAACUAUCACAUCCAUCACAACAAUUUGCCCAAUUCAAUUCAGGUACGUCUUUGGAUAAUGAUAUGUUUAAUAAGUUACUCACCUCUUUGUACCAGGAAGUAGAAAAUCGAAACAAAGAGAUGCCAAUUCAAACCAAGAAGACGGGUGAAUUGGAGAAGCAUAUUGGGCAGAUUAUGGAGUUCAUGGCACACAUUCAAGAGCAAAGUGAAGUUUCCAACUCAACUAUUGAAAAUUCGAAGGAAGAUUUUGAAAUCCAUGAUGCUAUCACUUUGGGAAGGGCUAUGGAGGUUGGAGCUGACCUAAAAACGUCCAAACAUUGCCUAGAAGUGGAUGAGGAGCUGCUGAUUGAGGAGGAGGAAGAAGACAUACACACGGCAAGGGUAGAACAACCCUUGCCGCAACCCCCUAAGCCUUCUAACCCACCCACCACAAGUAAGGACGUCCCAAUUUCAUUUCAUUCUAAUGUUAUUCCUCCCAAUGUCCAUUUUCCUAGCAGGUUUUUGAUUCCCAAGCAAGAAGAGAGUGAAAAAGACAUUGUGGCAGCUCUUCCAAAGGUGCAAAAGGAUAUUCCAAUUCUUGGUGCAACAAAGCAAGCUCUAGAUCGUGUUGAAUAUUUCAAAGGCCUUUGUUUCCCAAGAAGAAUGAAUGAUUCAAGAGAAAGUAGUGGCUAAAGAAUGUCAAGACUUCAUCAAAGAGGACAAAUUUGAAACAACAAAGCCCAAAGAAGUUGAAUUUGAUGACAUUGGACAAGUCACAACCAUCAUAGUAAAUCUGGCCAAGUCCAAUAUCCCUGAAACGUUCAAAGGAGUGGUGUUUGUCAUUGAGUUCUUGUCGGACAAAGCAAGUAAGUCAUCUUCUCCAAUUUCCAUUACAUUUUAUACUAACUUGCUGAUUUUGAUGAAUCAGGUACCUACACUAGAAUCUAAACCAAUGCCGGUUCAUUUCAAGUAUCAUCGUCCAUUCAAAGAUCAAAUCCAUGCCGUGGGACCUAGGAAUUGCUCUAACAACCAGAUUUGAGUUUCUAAAACCCUUCACUUUGUUGCUUGUUUCUAAUCUGCCAGUUUUGUUUUUAACUUGCUGUUUGUGUGUUUCUUUGUGUUUUGUGUGAGUUUAUGCUUGAAACAUUGAGGACAAUGUUUGAUUUAAGUGUGGGGGGGGUAAAUUUUUGAGUGUUUUAGAUGCAAAUUCGUGGGAUUUUAUCACCCUUAACUUGGAUACUUGCUGUUUUUAAGUGUUUUUGAGCAGUUUUGAUGUGUUUUUGUGUGUUUUGAUGCAAAAAUCCGAAAAUCACAUAAAAAUUUGAAAAAUUUGUUUUAAAAAAUCCAAAAAGAGUUGUUUUUGUGUGUUUGUUGUGUCUUAGGGUACCUUCCAACACAAUGAUGAUGAUUCGGUUUGUAAUUACAUGGCUGUUAAAGAGAGUGAUUAACGUGGAUGAAAGUUUGAUUUACUCUUUGUUUAUGCUUGGUUGUGGUUAUAACUUAUGAAUUCACAUGCAAUCAUAAAAGAAAAAAAUCAGUUUUUGUAACAUGCUUGAAGGAAGGAACUCAAACAAACGCUACAACCUUGUGAGACUUGAGCCUAAACGUUUAUUUGGAGAGUUAAAAUCUGUGCAUUGUUGUUUUCUAAAGUCGUUGCAUGAUCUCAUUAUUCUUUGCUUGGUUAUUACUUAGAAGGCGUUUCAUCAUUUAGUUCCAAAUGCUAGAACUCAUGCCAAUUUCAUUCAAAACAUGUUAUUGAAUUACAUAACACAUAUUCAAGAUGAAGUUAGUAGUUACCACCAUAGCCAAAAAGCCUUCAUUCCAUGCAGUCGUUUUUGUAGGUUUUAACCCCGUUGAGCCUUGUUUAGCCUAUGUUUUCUUCGUUAACCCACAUUAUCCUCACCUAGCCUAGAUUAGGACCAUCCAUACCUUCGUUCUUGAAGCAUAGUAAAGAAUGACUUCAAAAUGAAUUCCUUUUGGUCAUUGUUGGCAGAAAAACAAGUGUGGGGGAAGUGAGUUUUUUUGUGGGUGUGCCAAAGUCUUGAAUGAGGCAUGAAAAAGAAAAGAAAAAAAAAAUUCGUGGAAAAAGAAAAAAAAAAUUGAAGAAAAAAGUAUGAAAAGUUUGAAAAAAGAGUUGAAAAGUUGAGAAAAAGAGUUCUUAAAGUGUUGUUUGUUGAAGGAAGGGUCCAAAACAAUGAAUUCGGCCCUAAUUGUUGUUGAAUCUUCCCUUUGUGUUUAAAAGUUAAUUUCUGCAUGCUAAUGGGAAUUCUGAAGUACGAUUUCAUUGUUUUGCUUACUAUUGCUUAAAGAACGUUUGUUUUCCCUAUCCUUUCGUUGUUAGCCAACUCCCCUAGCCCCGUUACAACCCUUGACUUUAAUCUUGAGUGUUAUGUGUUUCAAUUUGUGGAGUUUAAAAUUGGUAUGAGCAUAUGGUGUCACUGGUUCUCGCAUCUAAGUAGUAGCAUUCCAUUCAUGAGAUCAUAUCUAAACAUGCUUAUUAACUCCGAAAAGUGCUUUCUUUGUUAUACAUAUAUGUGAGCAUUCGUUUUCAUGUUUAUAACAAUCUUCUCACAUAUAUAGGGUGUGUAGUCAGAAUAUCUGAGUGAAAAUUGAGUGCAUAUCUAGUAAGGAAUUGAGCACAUUCUCUAAGGCAUGUUACUACAUUCAAAAUCAUGUUUUAAUUGGUUAAAUGUGAACUAGUACGUGGUGACUAUGAUUAAGUAUGUGCUUAAGUGUGAAGAUGACUAAAAUCUGUGGGAGUGAUGAUUUUUAACAUGUCAUGUGCAUUGGAAAUCCCUGAGGCAAAUGUUGGAAGGUUUAGAUUGUGUUUUUGUUUUGUUUGGUUUCUUUGCUUUGCUCGAGGACUAGCAAAAGCUAAGUGUGGGGGAAUUUGAUAGGAGCAUAUUUAUGCGACUUAGUUGGCUUGUUCUUAAGCAUUUAUGUUGUUUUUCUUUAGUUAUUUUAGUGUUUAAAGUCAUUUUCGUGCAAUUUCAGGUUUAGAGACGAAGUAUGCAAAGAAGUGCAAAAUGGAGCAUUUUAGAGCAAAAUUGAGCUAGAAUGGAGUGUAUGCUAAUGGAGCACAAGGAAUGGACGAGUUUGAAGGUCAAAUGAGCUUAAGAAAUGAAGAAAUGAAAGUGAAGAACAAAGAAUUCAGAUUUGGAAACCAAAGUUUCUAAAGUUGGAAGUUUCUAUUCUUGGAGGUUUCCAUUUUCGAGAGUUUCUAUUCUUGGUUUUGGGCUUUUAGAUGACCUAAACCCUAAUUCCUUGUGGACCCUAACCCUAGCCGCACCUUAGGCCUUAUUCCCACUAAAAAUCUGAUUGUUUUAACCUAAUUUCUGGUGGAUUUGGGCUUCUAGAAACCCUAAUCUGAUUACCCUAGGGUUUUGGAUGCCUAUAUAUACUCAUUAUAACCCCUAGAUCAGAUCAUCACCUCUCAUACAUAACCAUUCACGCCAGAAAUUAAACCUUGAUUUCUGCCGCACCUUUCCAUCACCAAAGUCCCCAAAAUUCUGCCCAAAAUCAUCCCUAGCCGUACCCCCAUCAACCCUAAACCUCUCCAUACCAUUCCCCAUCCAUUCUACACCACAAAUAACCCCAAAAACCUGUUCUAAAGUCUCUGCCGCAGCAAGGAGGAAGGAGAAUUCGUUGGAUGCGCUUGCUGCCAAGUUGGAGCGUUCUAGGUGUUUUCUUUCUUUGGAUUUUAAUUUUCUAAAUUUAUGUAUCUUGGCUUUGCGAGUAUGAGGAACUAAACCCCCCUUGGCUAGGGGGGGAUUCGAAACCAUGUUUAUGCUUGCUAUAUGAUUUGAUUACUUCUAAUUGCGUUUCAUAAGUUGGGAAUUCAAUUUACUUAUCUACAAGAAUUAAAACUGAUUUGUGUAUGUUGGUUGAGGGUCGACACUUAAUUUGCAUGCAUGAAUUUGAUGCUAGGAUAUAAGGAAAUUUCACCUAAUCGUUAUGGACUUAUAUUCAUAAGUAGUAAAGGUUGAUGAUCUCAAUCGCGUUAAGUAAAUUCUUGGCAUAAGUUUCAUGCAAUCAUAGUAACAAGUGCUUCGUCAAUGCUUAUGGUUUUCAUAGAACUUAAUGAUUCUUGCUUGUAUCUCUAUUAUGCAAUCAUGUAGGGGACUUGUGGGGAAUGCUUUGGGUUGUCGUAUGCAAUCAUCCAAUUCAAUAACGUUAGGAAAAAUCUGAAGGUUAAUUUAAGCGGACCUAAUUAACUUGGGGCAUUGAGAAUUCAUGGGUUAUUGAAAAGCAAUUGGAAAUCGUUUUGAAUACAAGUCUAACAUGUGUGGAGAUGAACCCCUUAGCUAGCUUUCUAUCCAUUCAAUUCAAUCAAAUUCGUUUUAAAAUCU
rnacentral:lncRNA from 1 species